rnacentral:other from 1 species
UCUAUCCUGCCCGAUACGCGGACUGCGCACAUAUAACCCUACACUCGAUUGAAAGGGAGCCCUGGCUCCGCCUGCGGAUUGCAGACCUCCCGGCACGGCUUUGACCGGCUGCUGGAGGAAGGGAGCGUGAAACAGGAGGGGGGGCACCCACCUGCUUUUCUGUAGCAGGUUAUUGAGUUGCGCGAUACGGUCGGGCGGGACUUUU